rnacentral:rRNA from 1 species
UACAGAGGUGGCAAGCGUUGUUCGGAAUUACUGGGCGUAAAGGGCGCGUAGGCGGCCUCGCAAGUCCCGUGUGAAAUCUCUCGGCUCAACUGAGGAACGGCACGGGAAACUGCGGGGCUUGAGUUCGGGAGAGGGAAGCGGAAUUCCGGGUGUAGCGGUGAAAUGCGUAGAUAUCCGGAGGAACACCGGUGGCGAAGGCGGCUUCCUGGACCGAUACUGACGCUGAGGCGCGAAAGCUAGGGGAGCAAACGGG